rnacentral:rRNA from 1 species
AUGGAAGUCAUACUCAGGGAGUUUGCUUCAGCCAAGGCAGAGCAGCUGAUCUUGUGGCAAACAAUAGUUUGGUGUUGUAGGUCCAAAGUACGGUGGUGCGUCUCCGGAGACAAGAACUGCCAGUUCUUUCAUGCAGCAGCCAACUGCCAGGCCCGUCGCAAUAGGAUCAAGGUUAUUAUCCAGGAUGGGGUGGAGCAUUUUGAGAACUGUCAAAAGCUAGACUUGGCUACAAACUACUUUACUGCAAUCUUGGGCCAGCCUGCUUCUUCUAUGCCUAUGGUUGAUUUGAGCUCCAUGUAUACUCAGUUGGAUCUUUCAGAACUCGUGGGGAUGUUCUCUUGGGCAGAGAUCUUGGAGGCUAUUGACAGUUCACCAAAUAACAGAAGUCCAGGCCCGGAUGGUUUCACCAAUGAAUUUUAUAAAGUUUUUAAACUUCUGUUGAAGGAUGAUCUCCUCAGGUUCUUUGGUGAUUUCCACAGAAAUGAGGUCGCUUUAGAUGGCAUCAAUACUGCUUUCAUUAUGCCACUGCCAAAGAAGGAUACACCAUUGGAGUUGCGAGACUAUAGGCCUAUUUCUCUGGUGCAUAGUACACCCAAACUGGCUUCCAAGGUUCUGGCAAAUCGGCUGAAGAGGUGGAUUCCUUCUUUGAUACACUCUCUGCAGUAUGGGUUCUUGCGGGGACGAUCGAUCGUCGAGAACUUGGCUUUGGCUACUGAAAUGAUCCAGUAUGAUCACAAUAGGAAGAUGCCAGUUAUUGCUUUGAAGUGGGAUUUCCACAAAGCUUUUGACAGUGUCAGUUGGUGUUGUCUCAAGAAAAUAUUUGAAGCCAGAGGGUUUCCGCAGUUGUGGAUGACAUGA